AAAGGAGGAUUGUAGAUUUUUAGAAUAAUAAAAUUCUGAAUUUGUAUUGUAAUGUCACUUUUGGAAAUGAGCUUUUACUGAUCAUUUGCUUUCAGCCUCUUUUAUCAAAUUUUUUUAAGAGUGGUUGGUUGAUUAGUUGACUUACAUAGUGAUUUUUUUUUCCUCUUCAAGCAUAGAACUUUAUGCAGUGGAUGACUGAAAUGCGAGGGCUUAUAAAACUUAUGAAGAUCACAGUUUUUAUAAAAGUGAACAGUGAAAACAAUGCAUAGCCCAAGCCUAGUAUAAUUUUAAAAGACAAAGCUCUGAGAAUGACCUAUGUCAGCACUGAAACUUUGUAAUUUUAAAGGAAAAAGCAUACACAC
rnacentral:lncRNA from 1 species